UACGUAGGGUGCAAGCGUUGUCCGGAAUUAUUGGGCGUAAAGAGCUCGUAGGCGGUCUGUUGCGUCGGCUGUGAAAACCCGGGGCUCAACCCCGGGCCUGCAGCCGAUACGGGCAGACUAGAGUUCGGCAGGGGAGGACUGGAAUUCCUGGUGUAGCGGUGAAAUGCGCAGAUAUCAGGAGGAACACCGGUGGCGAAGGCGGGUCUCUGGGCCGUAACUGACGCUGAGGAGCGAAAGCAUGGGGAGCGAACAGG
rnacentral:rRNA from 1 species